AAUAUUGCACAAUGGGCGCAAGCCUGAUGCAGCAACGCCGCGCGAACGAAGAAGGCUUUCGGGUCGUAAAGUUCUUUUCUUAGGGAAGAAAAAUGACGGUACCUAAGGAAUAAGCACCGGCUAAAUACGUGCCAUCAGCCGCGGUAAUACGUAUGGUGCAAGCGUUAUCCGGAAUCACUGGGCGUAAAGGGUACGUAGGCGGUUUUGCAAGUCAGAAGUGAAAGGCUACGGCUCAACCGUAGUAAGCUUUUGAAACUGCAAAACUAGAGUUCAGGAGAGGUAAGUGGAAUUCCUAGUGUAGAGGUGAAAUUCGUAGAUAUUAGGAGGAACACCAGUGGCGAAGGCGACUUACUGGACUGAUACUGACGCUGAGGUACGAAAGCGUGGGGAGCGAACAGGAUUAGAUACCCUGGUAGUCCACGCCGUA
rnacentral:rRNA from 1 species